rnacentral:tRNA from 1 species
CGGGGCGUGGCGCAGUCUGGUAGCGCGCGCGGUUCGGGAUCGCGAGGCCGGAGGUUCGAAUCCUCUCGCCCCGACCA